ACGUAGGGGGCAAGCGUUGUCCGGAAUUACUGGGCGUAAAGCGCAUGUAGGUUGGUUAUUAAGUCCGAUGAGAAAAUCCGGGGCUCAACCUCGUAUGGCCUUGGAUACUGGAAGUCUUGAGUGUGGGAGAGGAAAGGGGAAUUCCCAGUGUAGCGGUGAAAUGCGUAGAUAUCGGGAGGAACACCAGUGGCGAAGGCGGCUUCCUGGCCUAUGUCUGACACUGAUGUGCGAAAGCUAGGGUAGCGAACGG
rnacentral:rRNA from 1 species